AGUCGGGGGUCUCCCUAUGUUUCCCAGGCUGGCCUCGAACUCCUGACCUCAAGUGAUCCUCCCACCUCAGCCUCCCCGAGUGCUGGGAUUAAAGACGUGAGCCACGGCACCUGGCCUGAAUUUUCCUCAAAUUCAAAAAAUCCUGAUGAAGGUUUGGCUAAAAUCUUUGGCUAUUCCCAACAGAAGAGCUUGAACAAUGCUGCAUUUGCAUCAGGUUCAAAUGAGCGAGAGGAACAUUUGGCUAAAAUAUUUGACACUUAAGGAAACUUUUAUCAGGUCAUUGACUAACUUCAGAGAUAAGAAAACAGAAAAUUCAGCACUUUCACACAACAAGAAGUACGCACUUUGCAAAACUAGUUUGGAAAAGUUACAAAAAGAUGGCUUCAGCCUUCAAUAAGCAAAAAUCAACAAUCACUGAAAGAGAGGAUUAGAUUUCCAGAGUUAUCAAAAUGUAAUACACAGAAUGUCCAUCUCUCAACGUAAAAUUAUAAAACAUACAAAGAAACAGGAAAGGAUGGCUCAUUCACAGGAAAAA
rnacentral:misc_RNA from 1 species